UGCCCUCGAACUUCGCUCCACUUUGCUUUACUUCGCUCCGCGUGAAGCAUUGCCGAAUUCUCCCCUAUCCUCCGUCCCCCCCCCCCAAACGAAUCACUCGUCAUCUUGAAUCACGUUGGUCCCUCUCGCACGAGCUGAACGCGACUUUAUUUUGUGCAAGCCACGCGUCUGAAGUACGCUCAAUAUGACGGAACGAAAUUAUCCUUUCCGUCAAACUUCACGCUGCAACGUGAAGUUGGACUGCUUUAAACUGGAGGGAAUUUCGCUUGUUUCAAUUUGUCUAGUUCUGCUUUUAGAAUUCGUCUAAUAUCGUACUAUUAAAAUCUAAUAAAUCAAGAGUUUUUCAAUCGUUAUAUCGCAAGAAUUCAAGUGGGCUUACACAAAUUUCAGAAGGUAAAUAAAUUUUUUUCAAAAUUUUUGAACAAACAAAAAUGUGAGCGAUAUUGUAUUUCUUUACUUUAAUCGGAAUAAUAUUGUAAUGAAAUCACUUUUAGGUGUCUGAUAAAAGACACGUUAUAAAAGCUACGUUAUAAUAAAGAGAGAAAUUAAUGAUGUAUCUCGACAAAUUUGGCUUUUUAUUAAUAGCAAACAUUAUUUGACUUUUUUAAUGUAUAGAUUGAAAAAUGCUAUAGUAAAUAGUCACAAAUACUCUCACAUACAAGAUUUUCGAAAAAACGCGUAUUCGUACAACGUUUAACGAUUUAUCACUCUUCUAUUCUUUUCAAAUAGAACUUUGUCAGAAUACUUUCAGCAUCAUUUUCGAGAAGUAUCGAUGACCGGAGGCUGCGCAGAAACGUUUUCUCGACAGUUCGUGACGAUCAGCAUGAGACGAUUCAUUUACUCUCAUUCGACAUUAUUCGCCAGACAGUUUUCUGGCGCUCGCGAGAUCUUGUUUACCGAAAUUUAAAAGCGGGUCAGCAACGUCAGCCGGCCGGCCGGCCAAUGGACACGAGGAGGCUGAGCGGAGGUUGUGGCCGAAUCCGCGUACUCGAUUGGCCGGCAAGGCGGGAAAGCGAAGGAGAGAUGGUGUGUUAUGCACGCGCAGAAAACUCGUUCUCCUUCGCCGUCGCUCACGACUACGUGUGCACGUGCACUCGUUCACGUAUGUACACCUCGCUAACGAAAUACUUUCGAAUGACAAGGUUAGAGCAUCGAGGGAGCACCCCGCAAAUAUAUAAUGGAAUAAUUUGCUUUCAUAAUCAAAUUUCUCUCCAACAAUCUCCCGUAUUAAUCUCUAAAAUGUAAUUUCGAUGAUGUUAACUUUAUAUUAAUCAUGAAGAAGUAUAUAUUGUUGGUUACUUAUCUGCCAAAAUUUUUCUUGAAGAAAAAAAAAUCAGCAUUGACAGAUCCACGAAAACGUAGACUCGUCAUUAUUAGAAAACAUUGAGAAAAAAAAACGGUCUGCAAUUGUGCACAUAAAUCGCAUCGUUUAUAUGAAUUUAGUUCAAAUUGUUCGAUCUUGUAUCGGAAAUAAAUGAAAAAAUCAUGGAGGGCUUGUUCAAAAAAAAUUACAAUAUCGUUAAACAAAGUUAGCGCCGAUCUCCCCGAAGGCCAAGUGGUAUAAUACAACUGCAACGUAUCUCAUUAUGAGAUAAGACAACCUCGCUCAGAGCUAUUAAUUGAUAGCUACAAUUCAUCAGUUGUUUACUUCAAAUAUCAGAUUCCGCGAUCAUGUUUUUCCCCCACAUGUUGCUACGUUUAUUUGAAAUAAUGUCGCAUUGGUAUUUUUAAUUCUUUAAUCGCGGUCCGGUUUAACUCCAUUCGUUCCAUCGAUAUAUACAUAUAUAUACACCGAGGAAAAAAGUUAAUUUGACUAAAUUUUUUAACUCGAUUAAAUUUCUUUAGUUCACAUAUUUAUGUGUUUAAGUUAAAUAUAUAAAAUAUUUAAAUUGAAAUUAAGUGUAAAUAUCGUUAUUAAAAUACGACGCGUUUCAAUUGUGAAUGCCAGGAGAAUAUCUCCGAAUUUAAAGCUCUCGGUUACACGGCAAAUUUCGCUGAGGAGAAAAAUAUGGAGAUCGCGUAAAUAUAUUUAAGAGAAUAAAAAAGUGACGUUAUUUCAAGAACGGGCUGCGCCUCGCAUAAUAAUUCGCACAUUGCACUCUGUUUUGUGCUUUGUGCUAUUUUUAGUCCAUCCGUGUUUUGUCGACACGCUACCGCUGUUUUACUUCUACAUUGCGCUCUUCAUUUCUUCUUUCUCUUAAUCAUCUCUUCGCUCUUGCCGAUUUGUCUUUUUUAUAAGUUCUCUAUUACGAGCCCUUACAUCGAAUUAAUCUUGGAACUAUAGCUUUCGAUUCAUGGAUCAACUCUCCGAAGCUUCGAUAUUCACUACGGAUUAUGUUAAUGAGAAAAUAACUCGAAAGAAGAGAAUCCGUAUUCUGAACGAAGUAGACGUUUAUAAAGUAUUAAAAAAUUUAGUUUUAACACUUAAUUUAUAAAUUAUAAUAAAGUUCAAUGUUCUUUAGACCUGGCGAAUUCUAAUGUGUAUUUAAAAAAUUGUUUUAAGUCAAGAAUUCUAAUCUACUUAAUGAGCAGGUAUUUGAGCUUCGAUAUUCUAGGCAAAAUCGACAAUACGUUUAUUCAGUCUCGUACUAACCCUUAUACAAGCAACCCUUUUAAAAAUUAAAGUUUCUUUUACUUCCAUUCUUUUUGCAACUUUAGUAUUUUGAAUCACUGGAUUUGAAACUAAAAUCAAAAUUCCAAAAUUAUUAAUUUAAUAUGCUCAAAGUCCAACAAAUGUUAGUUUGGUGUAAAAUAUACUAUAAUAAAAAUUUACCAAUUUUCGAAAUACAAGAUGUGGAUCAAAGUUGUUGAAAUUGUGAAUUUUGAAAAUUAUCAAACUAUCCGUAAUCAACAGUUCUAAAAAUCUCUGUACAUCAAAUUUCAAGAAGUUUAUAUGUAAGGGAAAAUGUAUACUUCAAAGAAUUAAAAAAGAAAGAUGAACGCCGACGUGUCAUGCUCCGUUUUGUAACACCUCGCGGAAAUAUUCGUCGACUGUUAAAUCUCUCGUGAAAAGGGCCGUAACAUGUGUCCGCGUGUAUGUGCGAGAAGAAAAAAUGCUAAUACGCUUUCCCCUGAUCGCAUACGGCGUGGACGACGCGCAACAGGAACGCCGAAAGGGGGCGAAGGGAACGCGCGAGAUGACGUGCAAGAGCGCGGCCGCGACAUGGCGCGUGGCUGCCGCCAUCGUGGCCACCCUCUUCUCCCUCCUCGUUCCCCUACCGACCACAUGAUCAUCGGCAAAGCGUCAAGCUGAUAGAACUUCACGUCGGAUAUCGCACGAUUAUCUUGUACAUGUCGAUAAUCUCAUUAGUCUCGGAGCUGAGAAUUUCGGAGUUCGAGAAGGAUAAAUAUGCGAUUAAUACCAAAAUAUGCCAGCAGGUCGAAUGCUAUUAAGUGCUAAUGAAAUGUGGCAGGAAUAUCGAACGACAGGCGUGACAGCCGCGAGUAUCGAGGCUUAUCGUGUACGCGAAAACGAGAAACAAGUCUCAAAAAUAAGAAAAAGCAAGACGAACGAUCUAUUUUACUGCCGAGAACACGCUGCGCGCGUAAAGAUGACGGAUAGGUGGUUGAGCAGGUUAGGGUUAAGUCAGAUUGGGCUAGGUUACGGUAAGCUUGACAGCCAGACGAGGCUGGAGUCUGUUCUUUUUAGCUACACAUAUUGUCGCGCUCUCCAUUUCUUAUGAUAAAAUAAGUCUGUGUACCGAAUUAUCACGCAUCAUUUUUCUUUCGACGGAAGAAUAGCAGAUACACGGAGGAUACGGUCGAUGGAGCGGCACGAACGGUAUUCAUCGUCUAUUCAUUGCCAUGACGAGGGAGCGGGGAGGGGGAGCCAGCCAUACGAUAACGGCGGUAGCGACGGCGGCGCACGCCAUGACAGAAGUAACAUGCGCUCGGUGAAAGAUGAUUGGCUAUUGAGAAGUUGCCGAGGAGCUAUGUGCGCUUCACGAUUCACACAGAUUCCAUGCGCAGUUGUGAGAUCUGGAGCAGCGUAAAAUACAGAAAAUAUUAGUUUUAACUAAUUUUUAAACUAAUAAAUACAUCCAAAUAAACUUUUGUACGAA